UCUCUCUCUCUCUCCUCAUCGAAACCCUAAUCCCUUUCUCCCAUGGCGCAUUCCCAUUUCGCCCCUUUCCCUAGGGUUUCCUCUCCCAAGAUCUCUCCCCCUUUCUCAAUCGCUUAUAAGGAUUAGGGUUUUUACCGUUCUUGGGGUUUCCAAAUUUCUCAUCUUUGUCGUUGGAGGGAGAUCUUGCGAUGGCCCCGCCCCGAGAAACCUACCACCACAUCAAAGUAUCCAUCGAGAGCUCCCCCGGCCUCCCAAUAUCCACCCAGAGUACGCGAUCGAAGCUCACAACAUCCGAAGACGCUCGUCGCCGCCUCCAAGAUCAGAUCUGUGCCUUUGAGGAUCGCCUCCGCGAGGAUACCAAGCGAUUGGAGUUCUAGGCGAGUAUGAACGCGAAUGGUUUGAAGAGGUGCGUCGAGGAGGAGGAGGCUUUGGCGUCGACAUGCAAUGAUAUGGAGACUCACUCCGCUGUACGAGCAGGAUGUUAACAGGGUCGUGGAGUCGUAUGAUGAAUUGGCGAAGGAGAACGACGAUCUUCGAGCGCAUCCGCAGGAUAACUUGCAUCUGACGGCGCGAGCUUCUGAAGUAGAAUCCUUGCAGAAGGACAAGGAAAUUGUGCUGGUUACUCUCCACAAAGCGGAAGAGGAGGUGGUGGUUCUGUUUGAAGAAAACAGAUUUCUGAAUGAAGAGAACAAGACAUUGCUGCUGCUUUUGGAAAGUAAGAGGCUUCUCAGAUCGUCUGACAGCAAAAACUCUAGUAGUGCCUCAGUUAAACAUUGUCGUUCGUCGACGUACGCAGGGAAAACGUAAAGCAAGCCUCAGGGACAACAGUCCAACCGGUGGGGCGACUGAUUUUUCCUAUGCAAGUUCCUCAAGAGAGAGCCUUUGUCAUCGAAAUCUACAAUGCUGCACAAGUGAAACGGUGAUUUAAACUUGAAAGAGUCCUGCUACGGGUCUACAGGAGUGGUGGUGCCCUCAGGAAAUGUUUGAUGUGCAGGCAUGCAUGAUUUAAAGGUUUUUUAAUUGCUUGGCCCCUAAUUGGCUGGAGGCGCUGCAUGGGCUAACCAACACAUCAAAAAUCCGUAUUAGACCUUUUGUAGUUUUGUGCGAAACCCAAAACAUUUUUCCACCUGAAAAUACUGAAACAAUAGUUUCGAAAGCCAGAUCACCAUUCUUGCACCAUUUCCGACUCAUAGAUGAAUACUACUGAGUUUGUGAUGUCACUAAUAAUGGCAAGAGCACCAUUUUGGUGUUAAUAAUAGUCAUAUAAGUUCGUGAUUUAUAAUUUAAAUAAAUAUAUUAUCGUAAGAUGUUAAUGAUUAGUUGUUAUUUGUUCAAUCACUGAAUCCAUUUAAAAUAAAUCCUUCAGCUGCGCUGGUAAUGUGAAUUAAAUUUUGAUACUUUUAGUU